GGUAGCCGCGUGGAGGGGGAUAACUACUGGAAACGGUAGCUAAUACCGCAUAACGUCGCAAGACCAAAGAGGGGGACCUUCGGGCCUCUUGCCAUCGGAUGUGCCCAGAUGGGAUUAGCUAGUAGGUGGGGUAACGGCUCACCUAGGCGACGAUCCCUAGCUGGUCUGAGAGGAUGACCAGCCACACUGGAACUGAGACACGGUCCAG
rnacentral:rRNA from 1 species